GGGAAAUCAGCUUGUCCACAGAGCCAGAUCCCCCUGGCAACGAUCCCUCCCCUAUAGACAGAGAAAGGCAAAGCCCCUGAGAGGAGCUCAGCGGAAAGUACAUUUCAUUGAGCCGGGGCUUGGUUACAAAAUAGAUAAACUUGCACCGUUUCCAGGCCAACGGGAUUCAAGCUGCCGAGAUGUUGACCAAGUUGGCCCUGCCUUCUGGAAGUCUCUGGCUCCACCGGAACGAGCUGUUUCAUUGGGAUAAGACCUCAAAGGGGAAUGUGUGAGUGAGCCAGGAAAUGAGUCGAACCAGGUCCCCCCAGAACAUUUGAUUGUAGUCCUGGGCAUCCAUCCAAAUCCCAGGGGCCUUUGCCCCAGAAGAGAUCAUGGCUUACUGGUGACGCUGAAUAGAGGUCAUGAGCACAGUGUGACGAAGAAGCCAGGCCAGGAGGAAACCCUGCAUUCAUGAAGUCACCCACAGUUCCAUCUACUCCAGCCAACACCAGGAUGCUUCACACCCAUGGACGUGAAGAACCAGGAACAAUCACCGAGCUUGCCUCUGGGAAAUCUGAACCAAGACAUCCAGGAACCUGGACAUGGAUUGAACUAUCUCUUCAUUGUCAGUUACCACUUGCUAAGCACAUCACCCCCAGAUCUGUGUGAGGGGGUCAGGUGUGCUGGGGUGGAGAAGACAACACAGAGCAGCCUGGGAUGGGAAGUCAGUCUCCUGGUGGUGGGAGUGGUAGAUGCUUGUGGUUGUGCUGUCUCCUUUGAGUAAAAACUCCAGCUGCCAAGUGCUGCCUAGCCUCUGAUAGUUGGCAGAGGCUCCUCCUGGCACCAUGUGGGAUGUGAACUUCCCCCUCAAUUCCUGGAUUUAUUUUGGGAUAAUGGGCUGUGGAAAGGUUACAGAAGGCUGAGUCUGGCCUGAAAAUGAAGCUCCAGCCAUGGCCAGAGGAACAUGGGGCUGAGGCUGACUUAGAGUCUGCCUCCUCUGAAGAACAAUGCUAUUUGAGGAUCCAUGCAGUGGCCACUGUCAAAGUGGUGGGGGAUAUGAUGUCCUCCUUGCUCCCACUUCAUCCCUGUGGCAGGAGUACCUGUUUAGGGGGGCACCCUCUCUCUCUCUCUCUCUCCUCUGUAGUGGGUGCUUUGGAACAAGUUGCAGACUAUCGAGGAGUCGGAGUCGUCGGAGUCGACCUGGGGCUGUGUUCUCAGGGCUGCUCAGUUAGCACAAGAGGUCCUGCGGAGGAAGCACUAGCAUCCCCCAGGCUCCCAGAAGCAGAGUCUGGGAGCAGUGCGUCACUUCAAAGGGCUCCCCCUCCCUCAGUCUGCUUUCUCUGUAGCAGAGGAGCCUUCCAGGCUCCCAGGCAGCUAAGCUGGAGGGGCCAUGGCAGAGUCAGUAGUUAAUAGCUCCUUGUCCUUUCUGCACAGGAUAUUGUGGAACUCAUGCUUGAUUGACAGCAAGCUAUUUGUUUCAUUGUAGCUGUAGCUGCAGUCUACUAGGAUAUCAGGAGAGCUCCCCCGCCUCCCGCCAAAAGCCCUACCAGUUACCUUUCUGUGGUGAUCAAAUACCGGGCCAGAGUUAGCUCAAGGCAGGAAAGGUUGAUUUUGGGGCAGUGCGGGGUACAGAUGGCUGUGACGGAAAGGAUACAGCUGUAAGGGCUCUUGGGGUCGCAGGAGUGUGAGCUUGCUUGCUUGCUUGCUCACAUGCCCGAGAGGAUUAGUCUGCAGAGAGCAGACAGGAAGUGGGACUGGUCCCCUCCUGAGAAGCAACAAUUCAACCCCCACUUUCUCUGUCCCACCUGUGCCGGGAGCAAUCACAGGAGCUUGCCAGCAGGGACCAGAUGGGGUAGCGGGUCCUGGGGGAGUGACUCACCACAGUCUUCUACAUCGUUAGACUUUAAAUCAGAGCCUUUCAGGCCAGAGGGCCAGAGAACCGGAUCUAAACACCCCAUCCGUUUCCAGUGGGGAGUUAGUUUUCCCUGGCAACUUGAAGCCGGUUUGAAAAAGAAAAAAAAAUUCAAAAGAAUAGAAGAAGAAAGGUUAAGUUUUCAACCAGGCAAAGAGGCUCAGGUGACCUCCUCCAGUGUCAAACAAGCCUCCUGUGCAGCCCACCUAGGGGCUCCCUUUCCUUGAAGGCCAGUUAUCAAAGGAGCCUUUGCUUUUGUUUUUAAACCCCGUUCUCGGUGAAGAAAGUGACUGUGCAAGGCGUCCCCCUUCCCCUGCCUCUGGGUGGGAAACAAUUUUAUUUUGACUGGCUGAAUUUCGCCCCCCCCCCCACCCUUUAGAAGCUGCUCCUUUAUCCCCAAAUGUAAAAUCCAAGCUUCAAAGCAAAUCCUGCUCCAGUCAGUGCCAAAUAAGGCAAGAACCCUCACAAAGCCGGGGUUUGUCAGGCCCUCUGGUCAGGUUUCAGCCAGGCUUCGGAGGGGCAUUCCUGAAAUAGUGCAGGCCGCCCAUACCUCCAGGCACUUAGCAACACGACGCCUUUUGAAUUUGCUUAAAACUAUUAAGAAGUAAUUAAGCAGUUAAAGGGUCUUUUUCAGCCCGAGCAGAGGUUGGGGAGGGAGUCGGGUUCAGUGAGAGGAAGCGAGGCCAUUCGCUUUCCUCUGAGCUGACCUUGCAGCGUAACACGUUCAUCCUGUAUUUUUCUGCCACUGCCAAUUUAUGGCCUACAGGAAACUAAUCUUGUACAAUAACUACCUUCCUGUACUUAGUUCCUAAGUAGAGCCAAAUGGAUUUGGUGGCGGAUGGGCUCCGCAGCGGUUCCCGGGAAACAGUGCUGAGCCCAGCAAGAUCUGAUAGGGGCUGCCGCUCUUAACUGACUCUCUGUAUAAUUAGGUUCCUGUUUUGGCUGCCCUGCACUUAAGAAGAGAAAAUAAAAAGCAGUCCCCCCAGCCCCGCCUACCACAGCGGUUUCAAUUCCAAGCCUGAGAGGGAGGCGGGCUUAGAAACGUGCUGGAGAGACACAGUCACCCUGAGUUUAGGGAGGGAGAUAGGGGCCACCCACCAACAUCAUGUCACCAAAGUCUUUGAUGAGAAACGGGAACCUGCUUUGUGAUUAAGUAAAAAAAAAUAUUCACAUAGGACUAAAUUCUGUGAUGAGC
rnacentral:lncRNA from 1 species